rnacentral:misc_RNA from 1 species
GAAAUGCGAUAAGUAAUGUGAAUUGCAGAAUUCAGUGAAUCAUCGAAUCUUUGAACGCACAUUGCGCCCGCCAGCAUUCUGGCGGGCAUGCCUGUUCGAGCGUCAUUUCAACCCUCGCAGCCCAUCUGGGCAGCGGUGUUGGGGACCGGCAUCACUGGCGAAGCCCUCUGGGGCCCAGCUGGCGCCGCCCCCGAAAUACAGUGGCGGUCUCGCUGCAGCCUCCCUUGCGUAGUAGCACACCUCGCACCGGAGCGCAGCGCGGCCACGCCGUAAAACCCCCGACUCUCUGAGUUUGACCUCGAAUCAGGUAGGAAUACCCGCUGAACUUAA